rnacentral:snoRNA from 1 species
UAGCUAUGGUAAUGAAGAUUCUAUUGGUGGAGUAAAACAUAAAACUCAGAAACACAGACGAGCUGAGAGUAGAGAGGCCGGGCUUCCUUCCCCAUGGGAGAAGUGGUUACGAAAGGAGCCUCACCUAGACUGUCCUUGCCUCACAUUU